AGAGUGUGAGCCACCACAAUCCUGAGCAUCAGAACAGGCAUCCACAGACGCAACGCAAUCUUAAUCCUCUGCCUCGGAAUCAGCAUCAUUAUAUAGUUUGCAGGCAACAACGGGAGAGGCUUCUGUGUGUGUGUGUGUGUGUAUCUUUAAGUGGGUGAGUUGUGCAUUGUGUGUAUGAAAGUGAGUGUAUGUGGGUUAGGCUUGUGUUUGUGAAUAGGUGAACUGCUUUUGACUUUGACGAGGUAAUAUGUUUCACUGUUGAUGUAAGUGGGUGUGUGCGUAUCGGCGGAUGUGCAGGUGAGAAGAGAGGGCGUGCGUGUAAAUUAGUGUGUAUCAGAGUAUAGCUACAAAGAAAGCCAGAGAGUGUGAAGUGUCCGCAAGAGUACUCAAAGAAAGUGAACUAUGAGCAUGUUGAAGUAUAAGUGAGUGGGUUUAAAAGUGCAUGGUAACUCAGUGUGUGUGUGUGUGUGUGUGUGUGUGUGUGUGUAAGUGUGUGUUGAAUGUAUGAGUAAGAGAGAAAAGGAAAAAAAGCAGUUAGGCUGGAGAGCUCAAAUGAUAUCGCAGCAGCAGCGGUAGCAGUAGCAGUAUAAGGCACCGGUGUAGUAGGCAGCUGUGUGCAGAGUCGCUUAAUAUACCGGAGGAGGAGUGAGGGAAAAAAACACUCAAGAGGAGCAAGAACAGGGCUCUGUGGUGGUGAUGAUAUGGGGAUCAAUCUUGGAUCGAUGAAGGACAGAAAGGAGGAAGAGGAAGAUGUGGAGUUCCUGAUGUGUGGGACAUCGAGGGGCUGUGGGCGACUGCGAGUAGCUGAGUUCAUGUGCCUGCUGCUGUUGGCCCAGUGCAUUAUGGGUAGGACUGGAGGAAGAGGUUUUCUGCAGAAGGUCUGGCAGCAGGCCGGACCUUGAAGCACACAGACUGGACAAGAUUUUAGAAAAGUCUGACUUCAGGUGCAAUUAUUAGUUACAAACAAGAUCGAUUUAUCCUCAGUAUCAACGGCAACAAAACCAAGUCAGAUUGACAUCAGGAGAUUGAAUGUGGAAUCAAAAGAGAAAUAAUUGUCAAAGACAAUAAACACUAACUUUUGAACCUCACCAUAAGCAGACACAAAAGCAUUAAAUCAUAGUAAUAAAACAGUUCACGUCAUCUCACAUUAUCAGGAAUGUAAAACAUAAACCAAUGACAGAUUUAGCUUGUCCCAGACUGAUUUUCAAGGUUUAAAUGGUUCAAUAAAUCCUAAACAGAUCUAUGGGUUUUUAUUCAUUGAUUUUAACAUUAAUUAUGUAUUUAAUCUUAGGUUUAGUGGUCAACAGAAUUGAGCAAUUAAUUGAAAUAUGGUGCAAUAUCCGAACCGCAGGAGCUGCAGUUUUUUGAUAAAAAGGUAAAGUUUGUCACAACAUGACAUAAAUGAAGCAUUGUGUUGCUACGGAGAUGCACCGGGGUACAAAUAAUAUUCUCCAGAUGUAAGAGAACAUGCUUGUUUGGUACAGACCCCAGCAAAAACGACAUCAUCAUUUUUAUAUUGUAUGUUUUUUCAGUGAAAAUGAAAUUCAAAAACUUACAAUCGCAACUCCAAUUGAAAUAUCUGUCAAAAUAAUCUCAAUAUGAUUAUUUGUGCGUAUCAUUCAGCCCUAGUGGUCAGCAUAAACUUUUCCACAUGUGGGCGUUCUCAGUCGAUGUCGUAGGAAUUUGUAGGAAUCUUGAGUAAGAACGGGGGGUUCUUCGCACUAAUUCUCCACUUGUACUAAAAAUUGGUUUCGCAAUUGCCAUGUCACAAUUUCAGCUUGCAACAUAUGUUUCAUUUUUGAAAAAUUGCUCAAUUCUUUGUGUGCUGGAGGACUUUGUUGUUACAAAGGCCCUGUUUUUCGGAUUAAAAGGGAUACUCCGGUGAAGGUGUUUUCCACAUCAGGAAAGUUUUUAACAAUAAAUGAUCACAAUGCAAGUAUUAUACUGAUGCUGGAGU